AGCUUUGCACAGUGGCAGUAUCGUAGCCAAUGAGGUUUAUCCGAGGCGUGAUUAUUGCUAAUUGAAGAUAUUAAUACUGUGCCGCCGUCCAGGAGCAUGCUUGAUGGAAAGGGACCAGCCUUUCCC
rnacentral:snRNA from 1 species